rnacentral:piRNA from 1 species
UUACAAUUUUCAACUCACACU